AGAGUUUGAUCUUGGCUCAGGAUGAACGCUAGCUACAGGCUUAACACAUGCAAGUCGAGGGGCAGCAUGUUGGUUGCUUGCAACCAACGAUGGCGACCGGCGCACGGGUGAGUAACGCGUAUCCAACCUUCCCUAUAGUAGAGGAUAGCCCGGCGAAAGUCGGAUUAAUACUCUAUGUUAUUCAAUGCGGACAUCUAAGUUGAAUCAAAGGUUUACCGCUAUAGGAUGGGGAUGCGUCUGAUUAGGUUGUUGGCGGGGUAACGGCCCACCAAGCCUUCGAUCAGUAGGGGUUCUGAGAGGAAGGUCCCCCACAUUGGAACUGAGACACGGUCCAAACUCC
rnacentral:rRNA from 1 species